rnacentral:rRNA from 1 species
UACGUAGGGGGCUAGCGUUGUCCGGAAUCAUUGGGCGUAAAGCGCGUGUAGGCGGUCCGGUAAGUCCGCUGUGAAAGUCGGGGGGCUCAAUCCUCGGAUGCCGGUGGAUACUGUCGGGCUUGAGUACGGAAGAGGCGAGUGGAAUUCCUGGUGUAGCGGUGAAAUGCGCAGAUAUCAGGAAGAACACCCGUGGCGAAGGCGGCUCUCUGGGACGGUACUGACGCUGAGACGCGAAAGCGUGGGGAGCGAACAGG